rnacentral:rRNA from 1 species
AGCAGCCGCGGUAAUUCCAGCUCCAAUAGCGUAUAUUAAAGUUGCUGCAGUUAAAAAGCUCGUAGUUGAAUUUCGGGAUCGAUAUAUCGGUCGUGCCUCGGUACGUACUGGUAUUUUCGGUUUCUACCUUCUGACGAACCUUGAUGUCAUUAAUUUGGUGUCUUGGGGAAUCAGGACUGUUACUUUGAAAAAUUAGAGUGUUUAAAGCAGGCUCACGCUUGAAUACAUUAGCAUGGAAUAAUGAAAUAGGACGUUUGAUUCUAUUUUGUUGGUUUCUAGGAUCGGCGUAAUGAUUAAUAGGGAUAGUUGGGGGCAUUAGUAUUCAAUUGUCAGAGGUGAAAUUCUUGGAUUUAUUGAAGACUAACUACUGCGAAAGCAUUUGCCAAGGAUGUUUUCAUUAAUCAAGAACGAAAGUUAGGGGAUCGAAGACGAUCAGAUACCGUCGUAGUCUUAACCAUAAACUAU